rnacentral:rRNA from 1 species
UACGGGGGGAGCAAGCGUUGUUCGGAUUUACUGGGCGUAAAGGGCGCGUAGGCGGUCAGCACAAGUCAGUUGUGAAAUCUCCGGGCUUAACUCGGAAAGGUCAACUGAUACUGUGCGACUAGAGUGCGGAAGGGGCAACUGGAAUUCUCGGUGUAGCGGUGAAAUGCGCAGAUAUCAGGAGGAACACCGAUGGCGAAGGCAGGUCUCUGGGCCACUACUGACGCUGAGAAGCGAAAGCAUGGGGAGCGAACAGG